GACGAACGCUGGCGGCGUGCUUAACACAUGCAAGUCGAACGGAAAGGCCCUGCUUUUGUGGGGUGCUCGAGUGGCGAACGGGUGAGUAACACGUGAGUAACCUGCCCUUUACUUUGGGAUAACUUCAGGAAACUGGGGCUAAUACCGGAUAGGAGCUCCUGCUGCAUGGUGGGGGUUGGAAAGUUUCGGUGGUUGGGGAUGGACUCGCGGCUUAUCAGCUUGUUGGUGGGGUAGUGGCUUACCAAGGCUUUGACGGGUAGCCGGCCUGAGAGGGUGACCGGCCACAUUGGGACUGAGAUACGGCCCAGACUGCUACGGGAGGCAGCAGUGGGGAAUAUUGCACAAUGGGCGGAAGCCUGAUGCAGCAACGCCGCGUGCGGGAUGACGGCCUUCGGGUUGUAAACCGCUUUCGCCUGUGACGAAGCGUGAGUGACGGUAAUGGGUAAAGAAGCACCGGCUAACUACGUG
rnacentral:rRNA from 1 species